rnacentral:lncRNA from 1 species
AAAAAAACAGGACCAUUUAAAGCCCAAAGCAAAUAUUUUACUGGAACCAGAUGUUAAACUUAAUGAUAAUAUUGAUAACGACUCACAACCUUUAAACAAAACCUUGGAUUUAUAUGAAUUUCAAGAAAAUGAUUUAGAGGAAAAGCAUCAAAAUCUCCUGAAUACAACAAGCUGGAAGAAAAAACUUACACUUCAUUAAAAGCUGUAAAUUUUGAUUGCUAUCCAAUUUUCACCAAAAUUGACACGAAUCCAAAUACUGACCA